GACGGAGGAUGCAAGUGUUAUCCGGAAUCACUGGGCGUAAAGCGUCUGUAGGUGGUUUAAAAAGUCUACUGUUAAAAAUUGAAGCUUAACUUCAAAGAUGCCGUAGAAACUUUUAAACUUGAGGAUGGUAGGGGUAGAGGGAAUUUCCAGUGGAGCGGUGAAAUGCGUAGAUCUUGGAAAGACCACCAAUGGCGAAGGCACUCUACUGGGCCAUGACUGACACUGAGAGACGAAAGCUAGGGGAGCAAAUGGG
rnacentral:rRNA from 1 species